AUGGCUCAGAACGAACGCUGGCGGCAGGUCCUAGGCAUGCAAGUCGAACGGAUGACAGAGAGCUUGCUCUCUGAAGUCAGUGGCGCACGAGUGAGUAACGCGUGGGAAACUGCCCUUCACUGGGGAAUAACGUUUGGAAACGAACGCUAAUACCGCAUACGCCCGCAAGGGGAAAGAUUUAUCGGUGAUGGAUGUGCCCGCGUUGGAUUAGCCAGUUGGUGGGGUAAUGGCCUACCAAAGCAGUGAUCCAUAGCUGGUCUGAGAGGACGAUCAGCCACGCUGGAACUGAGACACGGUCCAGACUCCUACGGGAGGCAGCAGCUAAGAAUAUUGGGCAAUGGAGGAAACUCUGACCCAGCCAAUGCCGCGUGAAUGAAGAAGGCCUUCGGGUUGUAAAGUUCUUUUAGUCAUGAAGAUGAUGACAGUAGUGACAGAAAAAGCACCGGCUAACUUCGUGCCAGCAGCUGC
rnacentral:rRNA from 1 species